rnacentral:lncRNA from 1 species
GAGCCCCCAUGGCCCUUGAAGAUUAAGGAAACAGGACUCCCAGGAUAAAAAGUUCCCUUUCUAACCAGACCAGCUGAGACUGGUUGAAACCAAGAUAGCUGACCGAGAAACUUCAAAAAGACCUUCAGCCUUAUUAUCAUCUCAUUUCCAUGCUCAGUGACACGCCCACAGUGCCAUGAUGGUUGGAAAUCACCAUGACGAUGACUGGAGGAAGGAAGGUCGCGCUCCGGUUCCAGGAAGCUCACUGCCCGCUCCCGGAAAAGACAUGAAUAUUCCUCCCCUUGCUUGGUGUGUCCAACCCUUUCAUGAGACAGUCAGUGUGUGUCAGCCUCCCCACCCCUCCCAGGCUGAGUGGAUUUGUGAGCCGCACUCCCACUUCUCAAUGCCAGGGCCACGGAAUGAAGCCUGCACUGCGGACACUCACUUUCGGUUUCAUGUAUUGGCUUCGUGACACCCCACAGCGAAAGACCCUCUGUUCUGGGGGAAUGACUGUGUUGGUGACAAAACCAUGCUUUCUGGAUCACUGUGGUAUUACGGCAGGGCUUGAAGUCAGAAGGAAGCCGAGUUUGAGCUAGUUCCAUUUCACCAUCAAAGGCAGGGCAUGAGGAGCGAUGGGGAGAGAAACGUGGAUGCGAAGAGGCGCCUGCCGCCUGUGUUCUCACAAAGCCACAGAGCAUGGACCUGCUCCCCCUACCCCCCAGCGCUACCCUGGCCUGGCUCAUCACCAACAUGAAGUAGAGCCAAGAGGUGUAAAGAGCCUUCAGAGACCUAAGUUGCUCUCCUGGAUUCAGCCAUGCCUGAAGCUGACAUACCUAUGGAUUGUUAUAUGUCAAAAAACUUUCCUUCUUACUGAAGCCAAUUUGAGUUGGGCUUUCCGUCACUUACAAUGGAAAAACUCCUGAUUACCCUGCUGUAUCACAGUGAUUUACACACAGUCAGCAUCAGUGAAUACUUGGUGAAUAAUUGAUGAAUAAAAGAAUGAAUGCAAAUGAACACGUUUGACUACUGCAAGAUGCACUCUUGCUGAGCACUCAAGUGGGGACAGAAAAAGGCUCUGGAAGGUCCCAGCAGAUGCUAUCUGCAGGUGGGAGGCUCGGGAGUGGUCUCCGGAGAUGACAUAGAUGUGUUUUCUCUGGAUACGUGCUGGCCUGUCUCGCCCGUCUGCAGUCCAGCAGCAGGAUGGAUAAAGGAUGAACCCGAUCAUCUCACUCCCUGGUCACAUCCCUCCCAUGGCUUCUGCAUCAUCGGGUUCUUUGCUGUAAC